rnacentral:rRNA from 1 species
CAAAAGUACAACCCUGAACGGUGGAUCACUCGGCUCGUGGGUCGAUGAAGAACGCAGCAAAUUGCGCGUCGACAUGUGAACUGCAGGACACAUGAACAUCGACAUUUCGAACGCACAUUGCGGUCCAUGGAUUCCGUUCCCGGACCACGCCUGGCUGAGGGUCGGUAGCUAAAAA